rnacentral:rRNA from 1 species
AGAAUCAACGCUGGCGGCGUGCCUAACACAUGCAAGUCGAACGAGAAAGGGACUUCGGUCCUGAGUAUAGUGGCGCACGGGUGAGUAACACGUGAAUAAUCUACCUCCGAGUGGGGAAUAACCAAAAGAAAUUUUGGCUAAUACCGCAUAACACUUACGAGUCAAAGCAGCAAUGCGCUUGGAGAGGAGUUCGCGGCAGAUUAGUUAGUUGGCGGGGUAAUGGCCCACCAAGACGAUGAUCUGUAUCCGGCCUGAGAGGGCGCACGGACACACUGGAACUGAAACACGGUCCAGACUCCUACGGGAGGCAGCAGUGGGGAAUUUUGCGCAAUGGGGGAAACCCUGACGCAGCAACGCCGCGUGGAGGAUGAAGUAUCUUGGUACGUAAACUCCUUUCGAUGGGAAGAUAAUGACGGUACCCAUAGAAGAAGCCCGGCUAACUUCGUGCCAGCAGCCGC